CUACGGGUUGCUGCAGUGAGGAAUAUUGCACAAUGGGGGGAACCCUGAUGCAGCAACGCCGCGUGGAGGAUGACGCAUUUCGGUGUGUAAACUCCUUUUAUAUGUCAAGAAAAUGACGGUAGCAUAUGAAUAAGCACCGGCUAACUCCGUGCCAGCAGCCGCGGUAAUACGGAGGGUGCAAGCGUUACUCGGAAUCACUGGGCGUAAAGGACGCGUAGGCGGGCUUGUAAGUCAGGUGUGAAAUCCUACAGCUUAACUGUAGAACUGCACUUGAAACUACGAGCCUAGAGUAUGGGAGGGGCAGAUGGAAUUAGUGGUGUAGGGGUAAAAUCCGUAGAUAUCACUAGGAAUACCUAAAGCGAAGGCGAUCUGCUGGAACAUAACUGACGCUAAGGCGUGAAAGCGUGGGGAGCAAACAGGAUUAGAUACCCCCGUAGUC
rnacentral:rRNA from 1 species